AGUGAACGCUGGCGGUAGGCCUAACACAUGCAAGUCGAACGGCAGCACAGUAAGAGCUUCCUCUUACGGGUGGCGAGUGGCGGAGGGGUGUGGAAUACAUCGGAAUCGACUUUUUCGUGGGGGAAAACGUAGGGAAACUUACGCUAAUACCGCAUACGACCUACGGGUGAAAGCAGGGGAUCUUCGGACCUUGCUCGACUGAUUGAGCCGAUGUCGGAUUAGGUAGUUGGCGGGGUAAAGGCCCACCAAGGCGACGAUCCGUAGCUGGUCUGAGAGGAUGAUCGGCCACACUGGAACUGGGCCACGGUCCGGACUCCUACGGGAGGCAGCAGUGGGGAAUUUUCGACAAUGGGGGCAAGCCUGCUCCAGCCAUACCGCGUGGGUGAAGAAGGCCUUCGGGUUGUAAAGCCCUUUUGUUGGGAAAGAAAAGCAGCAGGUUAAUACCCCGAUGUUCUGACGGUACCCAAAGAAUAAGCCACGGCUAACUUCGUG
rnacentral:rRNA from 1 species